ACCCGCUGAAACUAAGCAUAUCAAUAAGCGGAGGAAAAGAAACCAACAGGGAUUGCCCUAGUAACGGCGAGUGAAGCGGCAACAGCUCAAAUUUGAAAUCUGGCUCUUUCAGAGUCCGAGUUGUAAUUUGCAGAGGGCGCUUUGGCUUUGGCAGCGGUCCAAGUUCCUUGGAACAGGACGUCACAGAGGGUGAGAAUCCCGUACGUGGUCGCUAGCUAUUGCCGUGUAAAGCCCCUUCGACGAGUCGAGUUGUUUGGGAAUGCAGCUCUAAAUGGGAGGUAAAUUUCUUCUAAAGCUAAAUAUUGGCCAGAGACCGAUAGCGCACAAGUAGAGUGAUCGAAAGAUGAAAAGCACUUUGGAAAGAGAGUCAAACAGCACGUGAAAUUGUUGAAAGGGAAGCGCUUGCAGCCAGACUUGCUUGCAGUUGCUCAUCCGGGCUUUUGCCCGGUGCACUCUUCUGCAGGCAGGCCAGCAUCAGUUUGGGCGGUGGGAUAAAGGUCUCUGACACGUUCCUUCCUUCGGGUUGGCCAUAUAGGGGAGACGUCAUACCACCAGCCUGGACUGAGGUCCGCGCAUCUGCUAGGAUGCUGGCGUAAUGGCUGUAAGCGGCCCGUCUUGAAACACGGACCAAGGAGUCUAACAUCUAUGCGAGUGUUUGGGUGUCAAGCCCGAGCGCGUAAUGAAAGUGAACGGAGGUGGGAACCCGCAAGGGCGCACCAUCGACCGAUCCUGAAGUUUACGGAAGGAUUUGAGUAAGAGCAUGGCUGUUGGGACCCGAAAGAUGGUGAACUAUGCUUGAAUAGGGUGAAGCCAGAGGAAACUCUGGUGGAGGCUCGCAGCGGUUCUGACGUGCAAAUCGAUCGUCAAAUUUGGGCAUAGGGGCGAAAGACUAAUCGAACUAUCUAGUAGCUGGUUCCUGCCGAAGUUUCUCCC
rnacentral:rRNA from 1 species